rnacentral:snRNA from 1 species
AUUGCUUCUUGGCUUUUUGGCUAAGAUCAAGUGUAUCUGUUAGAUACCUUUUUUAAAAAUCCGAAGACAGGGUCUUGCUAUGUUGUCCAGGCCUUGAACUCCUCCUGGGCUCAAGCGAUCCUGU